rnacentral:rRNA from 1 species
AACGAACGCUGGCGGCAGGCUUAACACAUGCAAGUCGAACGCUCGUAGCAAUACGGGAGUGGCGGACGGGUGAGUAACGCGUGGGAACGUGCCCUGAGGUACGGAAUAACUGAGGGAAACUUCAGCUAAUACCGUAUGAGCCCCGAGAGGGGGAAAGAUUUAUCGCCUUGGGAGCGGCCCGCGUCGGAUCAGCUAGUUGGUGGGGUAACGCCUACCAAGGCUUCGAUCCGUAGCUGGUCUGAGAGGACGAUCAGCCACACUGGGACUGAGACACGGCCCAGACUCCUACGGGAGGCAGCAGUGGGGAAUCUUGCGCAAUGGGGGCAACCCUGACGCAGCCAUGCCGCGUGAACGAUGAAGGCCUUAAGGGUUGUAAAAGGUUCUUUUAACCCCGUGACGAUGAUGACGGUAAC